rnacentral:pre_miRNA from 1 species
UAUGUACUCCCUCCGUUCCGAAUUACUCGUCGCAGAAAUGGAUGUAUCUAGAUGUAUUUUAGUUCUAGAUACAUCUAUUUCUGCGACGAGUAAUUUGAAACGGAGGGAGUAGUUA